rnacentral:rRNA from 1 species
UCCGAAGGGGGCUAUCGUUGUUCGGAAUUACUGGGCGUAAAGAGUUCGUAGGCGGUUUAUUAAGCUAGAUGUGAAAUCCCUGGGCUUAACUCAGGAACUGCAUUUAGAACUGGUAAGCUAGAGAGUGUUAGAGGUUGGUAGAAUUCCUAGUGUAGGGGUGAAAUCCGUAGAUAUUAGGAGGAAUACCGAUGGCGAAGGCAGCCAACUGGGACAUUUCUGACGCUGAGGAACGAAAGCGUGGGUAGCAAACAGG